rnacentral:rRNA from 1 species
UUAAAUUGAAGAGUUUGAUCAUGGCUCAGAUUGAACGCUGGCGGCAGGCCUAACACAUGCAAGUCGAACGGUAACAGGAAACAGCUUGCUGCUUCGCUGACGA